rnacentral:tRNA from 14 species
GGGGCUGUAGCUCAGUUGGGAGAGCGCAUGACUGGCAGUCAUGAGGUCAGGGGUUCGAUUCCCCUCAGCUCCA